CACACAGUAGCAUGACAGGCCUAUGGUUAUCUGAUUGGCACACCGUAACUGCUCUAUUUCGUGCAUUUACACUUAAGCCUCUAAUAAUAGUUCUUUGAAAAGCACUGUCUUGUAUUUAACUGAUGAUUGGCUCCAGCAAUUAAAUCCUACCACACUUUAGAAUGCUGGACUAUUCUGCUGCUUCCCAGAGUUGGAAAGAAAGGAGUUGACUCACAUCUUACCCAUCUCACUCCAGAUACAGAGCCUCCCUCGAAUGCAGAGUUAACAGUGGGGUUGUGUUUCUGAUCAACAGAAGCUGCUGGAUUACACCUUGUCCACAGAUAUAAAAAGUUCCAGAUGGUAUUUCUGGAAGAACUAGGGAUACAACAGAGAACACAACAGAUAAAGUCACCACUCUCAUGUGGCAUAUAUUCCAGCGGGGAGGAGCAGACCGACAGCAGAAUGGGUCAACGUAAGGAACGGCAGAUAACGGGCUGGACGAACUGAAGAAAGAUGAACUCGGGCAGCAGCCAAGAACUGAGAGGAGGGGGUCAGCAGAUUCCCUAACUUCUCUCCUCCGCUACCUCUUGGAGUUUAUGUCCUCAUUUCAAUUAAACAAGCCUUUGUUAAAACCUUAGCCCUCUGUGCUCAGCCCUCUACUGGGACAUUUUUAAAAUGAAUUUUGUAUUAAAGGAGACAGGACUUUAGGUCUUUUCACUUCAACCAGGUACUGCCAGAAUAUUGCACUAUACAUGAAUCAGAAAGUGAGUUCACCUUAAUAAGCUCACCCAAUUUUAUACAAAAGCUAUUUGUCAGAGAGAAGUCGACAUUGG
rnacentral:lncRNA from 10 species